GUGGGGAAUUUUGGACAAUGGGCGCAAGCCUGAUCCAGCAAUGCCGCGUGCAGGAAGAAGGCCUUCGGGUUGUAAACUGCUUUUGUACGGAACGAAACGGUCCUGGCUAAUAUCCGGGGCUAAUGACGGUACCGUAAGAAUAAGCACCGGCUAACUACGUGCCAGCAGCCGCGGUAAUACGUAGGGUGCGAGCGUUAAUCGGAAUUACUGGGCGUAAAGCGUGCGCAGGCGGUGCUGUAAGACAGGCGUGAAAUCCCCGGGCUCAACCUGGGAAUUGCGAUUGUGACUGCAGUGCUGGAGUGCGGCAGAGGGGGAUGGAAUUCCGCGUGUAGCAGUGAAAUGCGUAGAUAUGCGGAGGAACACCGAUGGCGAAGGCAAUCCCCUGGGCCUGCACUGACGCUCAUGCACGAAAGCGUGGGGAGCAAACAGGAUUAGAAACCCGUGUAGUCC
rnacentral:rRNA from 1 species